rnacentral:lncRNA from 1 species
UCAGAUUUUGAAGGUAUUAUUUAUUGUGAAGCUUUAGAUAUGAAGGAAACAAGACCUUCAAAAUUCGAAUAAGCAUAUCCUAUCUUCACCCAAUUAACACCAUCAAAAUUCUUCGACAAUUUUCAUCUUCUUCAUGUCAGAAGAACCUGGGGGUUUGUGAUAAUAAAGUUAACAGGGAUUCAUGAGUUAUGUCAAGUGAAAUUGGUGAUGAAAAUGGAGAAGGCACUAACAAU